rnacentral:rRNA from 1 species
ACGAACGCUGGCGGCAUGCCUAAUACAUGCAAGUCGAACGAUCCCUUCGGGGAUAGUGGCGCACGGGUGAGUAACACGUGGGAACGUGCCUCUUGGUUCGGAAUAGCUCCUGGAAACGGGUGGUAAUGCCGAAUGUGCCCUUCGGGGGAAAGAUUUAUCGCCAUUAGAGCGGCCCGCGUCUGAUUAGCUAGUUGGUGAGGUAAAGGCUCACCAAGGCUACGAUCAGUAGCUGGUCUGAGAGGAUGACCAGCCACAUUGGGACUGAGACACGGCCCAAACUCCUACGGGAGGCAGCAGUGGGGAAUCUUGCGCAAUGGGCGAAAGCCUGACGCAGCCAUGCCGCGUGAAUGAUGAAGGUCUUAGGAUUGUAAAAUUCUUUCACCGGGGACGAUAAUGACGGUACCCGGAGAAGAAGCCCCGGCUAACUUCGU